ensembl:lncRNA
AGAACCGACUCUAGAUGAUUAGGAGUAAAUUUGGUUCAGAAUUAGGUAUGAGCCUGUCCUGCUUGAACUCCAAACUAGGCAAAAGCUGGGUAGCCUAUUUUCUGCAGUACCCACCUUGAAACAAUAUGUUCUGCUUCUCAGAUCCAAACAAGCUCCAAACGUUAAUCUUGACUCCCAGCUUGUCUGAAGGAUAUGCAAGCUGACCUCCCAUCCUCCUGCAAAAGACCUGGAAAUGAUGUCAGAUUGUCUGGUCUAGACAUGAUGCUAACUGCUCUUUUUUGGAGACCAGAGAGUGCUGUCUUUCCUGAAGGCCACUGAGCACCACCACUCUGGGAAAUGACAGAAGGCUGAAUGUUUUGGCAAUCAAAUUUGGGAAGCAGUUUCUGCAAGAGGUCGGUGCUGCCUGAGUUCCCCCAGCAGAAGACACUUUAUCCCAUUACGAACAAACGGCAUUACUUACUGAAGGAGUUGAAUGCUGUGGUAUUUCCCAGUGUGCCACAUGGCUGCAGAAAUGAAAAUAUCACCUCUUCUAAAAUUUGCUUUAAAAAUGAAUGCACAAACUGCAAUCAAAAUAGAAUCAAAGGAAAAAAGCAAACAAACACAACGAGCUUGAUGAAUAUGGAAAAGGGAGAAAUGAAGGAGGUGGUGAAAAGAAAC